UUGAUCCUGGCUCAGAGCGAACGCUGGCGGCAUGCUUAACACAUGCAAGUCGCACGGACCUUUCGGGGUGAGUGGCGGACGGGUGAGUAUCGCGUAGGGAUCUAUCCACGGGUGGGGGAUAACAUCGGGAAACUGGUGCUAAUACCGCAUGAUACCUGAGGGUCAAAGGCGCAAGUCGCCUGUGGAGGAGCCUGCGUUCGAUUAGCUUGUUGGUGGGGUAAAGGCCUACCAAGGCGAUGAUCGAUAGCUGGUCUGAGAGGAUGAUCAGCCACACUGGGACUGAGACACGGCCCAGACUCYUACGGGAGGCAGCAGUGGGGAAUAUUGGACAAUGGGCGAAAGCCUGAUCCAGCAAUGCCGCGUGUGUGAAGAAGGUCUUCGGAUUGUAAAGCACUUUCGACGGGGACGAUGAUGACGGUACCCGUAGAAGAAGCCCCGGCUAACUUCGUGCCAGCAGCCGCGGUAAUACGAAGGGGGCUAGCGUUGCUCGGAAUGACUGGGCGUAAAGGGCGCGUAGGCGGUUUACACAGUCAGAUGUGAAAUUCCAGGGCUUAACCUUGGGGCUGCAUUUGAUACGUGUAGACUAGAGUGUGAGAGAGGGUUGUGGAAUUCCCAGUGUAGAGGUGAAAUUCGUAGAUAUUGGGAAGAACACCGGUGGC
rnacentral:rRNA from 1 species